rnacentral:lncRNA from 1 species
CUAGCGAGGGGGCGCGGCCCAGCCAGGAGAGCUGGAGAGGCCCGGAGGAUCUUCCCUCAGAGCCUGGCGAGGGGGCGUGGCCCAGCCAGGAGAGCUGGAGAGGCAGCGAGGAUCUUCCGUUAGAGCCUGGCGAGGGGGCGUGGCCCAGCCAGGAGAGCUGGAGAGGCAGCGAGGAUCUUCCCUCAGAGCCUGGCGAGGGAGCGCGGCCCAGCCAGGAGAGCUGGAGAGGCCCGGAGGAUCUUCCCUCAGAGCCUGGCGAGGGGGCGUGGCCCAGCCAGGAGAGCUGGACAGGCAGCGAGGAUCUUCCCUCAGAGCCUGGCGAGGGAGCGCGGCCCAGCCAGGAGAGCUGGAGAGGCCCGGAGGAUCUUCCCUCAGAGCCUUGUUGUUCCUCCCAUCCACUGUAGUUUUCAUUUUAAACGUUGUAGCUUUUUUCCUCUAGAAGUUGGGUUUGAGUCUUUUAUAUAUCAUGAGUGUCUCUACUUAACUUUGUUGUCGUCACAGCAGCUCCGCGGACAACACCUUCAGAUCCCUCAGGAGAAAGGAGCGAUGCCGUAGUCAUUAACUCAUCUGUUUUCUCAACCUCAGCUCUAAUCCAUCAGGACAUCGUAUUGCCUCUUCCUUUCAGAUGUACCCAAACUUCAGCCACCCCUCGUGACCUCA